CCCACUCAACUGAGAAUUGCCUCCUUCACCGGUAAUAACCAACCAGAAAACUCACGAUCUUAACAUGAACGUGGGAAGUUAUCGGCGCUCAAUGGGCUCACCACGAUUUACCAACUAUAAAAGAGGCAAGAUGGAUGAUCAACCCAGAACAAGGAAAAAGAAGAAAAUCAAAUUCCUGCAAUUUCAAUUUGGAUUUCGAUUUGGUUCGGAAGAGCACUCAACUGAAUCGUGUUUAGAAGGAUUGGUGAGAAUCAGUGAGCAAUUAAGCUAGAUGUGCAAUACCUUCAUGUUAAUGCAGCUAUUGAUUCCAGCAUAGGCCUUAACCCAGCCCCUCUUUUAGAGUUAUCAGCAACAAUUGGAAGUAAGGAUCUUAGGAAGGUUGAUGAAAUUGGAAUUCAAGUCCUUAUUAGAUUAACAGGACGGGUGAGCAAUUAAGGAAGAAUUGAUUGAAGCUGUGAGGAAUUAAGGAGCAUAUUGAACAAAGCUUUAAGUAAAGUUGAGAGUUCAUAGGCAACGGUGAAGCAAACCACUGAAUUACUUCGCUCGGUGCGCGUAUACCCUACACAGAUCAAGUUGGGGCUUUGAUUGAUGUUGC